rnacentral:rRNA from 1 species
GGGAUAACUAGUCGAAAGAUUAGCUAAUACCGCAUACGACCUGAGGGUGAAAGUGGGGGACCGCAAGGCCUCAUGCUAUAGGAGCGGCCGAUGUCUGAUUAGCUAGUUGGUGAGGUAAAGGCUCACCAAGGCGACGAUCAGUAGCUGGUCUGAGAGGACGAUCAGCCACACUGGGACUGAGACACGGCCCAGACUCCUACGGGAGGCAGCAGUGGGGAAUUUUGGACAAUGGGCGAAAGCCUGAUCCAGCAAUGCCGCGUGUGUGAAGAAGGCCUUCGGGUUGUAAAGCACUUUUGUCCGGAAAGAAAUGGCUCUGGUUAAUACCUGGGGUCGAUGACGGUACCGGAAGAAUAAGGACCGGCUAACUACGUGCCAGCAGCCGCGGUAAUACGUAGGGUCCAAGCGUUAAUCGGAAUUACUGGGCGUAAAGCGUGCGCAGGCGGUUGUGCAAGACCGAUGUGAAAUCCCCGAGCUUAACUUGGGAAUUGCAUUGGUGACUGCGCGGCUAGAGUGUGUCAGAGGGGGGUAGAAUUCCACGUGUAGCAGUGAAAUGCGUAGAGAUGUGGAGGAAUACCGAUGGCGAAGGCAGCCCCCUGGGAUAACACUGACGCUCAUGCACGAAAGCGUG